ACGGUCUGCUAUGGCAGCCAUGAGACACACGGAGCUACUGAGCACUGACAUGUGGGCAGUGCGGCUAAGGGACAGAAUUUUAAAUUUUUACUAAGUAAUUAAAUUUGAAGUUCACGCUGUGGAGCAGUGGGUUAACGAUCCCACCUGUCUCCGUGGCAUUGCCGGUUGGAUCCUCUACCCGGCGCAGUGAGUUAAAGGAUCCCGCAUUGCUGUAGCUGUGGCAUGGUUGUGGCCCCAGCUUAGACUUGAUCCCUGUCCGGAGAACUUCCAUAUGUCAGGGGUGCGGCCAAAAAGCAAACAAAAAAUUGUAAUUGAACGUAAGGAGCCACAGGAUACUAGAGGCUACUGAACUGGACAGCAUCAUAAAAAGCAGAUAAGGCCCCUCGUCCUAUCUUAGACAGUUUGUGGGUGUCCUCAGAGUGAGGAUAUAUCACGCCUUCUUCAGUGCAAGCUACGGCAGGAAGGAAACUCCACUGUGGGGACUUUUGAGACAGGGAGACUGUUGUUAAGGGCACAAGAGAAGGAAGAAAACACUCCAAGUGGCGGGGCACGUGGUCUGGGAGCGCCUGCCCCGCAGGCAAGCUGAGGUCUCCUGGUGGAGCACAGCCUGUACUGAAAGAACAAAACGGAACUAAAUCUGUCCCAGAGACACCUGAUUGCUUGCCUGCUCCCUUCUCUGUUGCACUUGGCCCCGGGUCCCUCCACCGCUUUCUUCCUGUGGUUCAAUAUCUGGACUUCAACUUCCCUUGAAAACAGGCAGGGCCAACCCACGUGGCUUCAUUCCACACAUACCCACUCUUUUCUCUGCCUCCCUCAGCCCUUUAUUCCAAAUCAAGCUGGUUUUCCCCUUAGCCAAGAUCACGGCGACAGCAGAUCUGCCUCUUUGCUUGCCACAGCCUUCUGAUUCUUGCCGUUUCCUUUCCCCUGGGUUUUCAGGGGCUUCAUGUGCGCUGAGACCACCCUUCAUAAAUAUACCGAACUCCUUACUGACAUAACCCACCCAUCCCCCUACUAGCCUACCUACAGCGGAGGCUGGAGGGCCAAGAGCUUUCUCCACCAUUUAAUCCUCGCAACUACAGCUGAUUGGACUGGAGGUAGGUUCCUGACGCAAAGUCAGCCAAUCGCGAGGUUUGCUGACAGCCUAUGAGGUGGCUUGACUUGAAUAGGUGAGCUGAGCCAAUCAGAUGCUCUCUUGUAGGACUGGUACAUAAAUACCCAGAGAAUGCGCGCGUUAGGGGAGGUGAAGUUGGAAAGAAGUUCUGAGAUGGCAUCAGGACUACCAGAGGUCAUGGAAAGCCGGGCUUGUUGGGAAGCAGUCGUGCAGCAAAGAUGCAGGGAAGUGAUGAAAGAGACAAUAACAGCUGGCCUGAUGACUCUCUAGUUCCAGCUCCCAGCCUUGUGACUGAAGACACCUGAGAAAUCUCUUGGCGUUUUUUCCUCCUCCUUGAAAGUGGACAUGAUGUCUGAAGUUGUGGCAACCACCUUGGGACUUUGAAGAUGGAAGCCACGGUCUCAAAUUGGCAGAGCAGAAAGAUAAAGGAAGCCUGGGACAUCACACAGUUUCCACAUCAGUCUUUAGAAGGCCCUCUGUUAGUUUCAGACUCUUGUUAGUUUAGCAUCUAUAGUUCCUUAGAGUUUAUUAUUCUGUUAUCUUGGAGAUACAACCCAACAUUGCAUUUGGAUUCCAUGGUCCAUGAAAUUGCAAGCUGAAAAUAUACUUUUGCCACAGUUGGAAAUUCUAAUGGGAAAAUAAGAAAGUUUUUUAAAAAAGUAUUAGAAUGCUUAGUUCCCACGCUAACAUAUGACAUACUUCAGACUAAAGUAAUAAUAGUAACAUUCUACUUUUAUUUAGCUCCUGUGGAAUGUGCAUUAUCUAAUUUGGUCUUCGUGAUUUGGUCCCUGUGUGAAAUAGACAGGGACGUGCUACUUUCGCAAUUUGUUAAUUAAAGAAACUAAAAUUCAGAGAUAUCAAGUCAGAGAAUCUGCAAAUUUUGGGACAAUAAAGGAUCUUAAACAGCCUGA